GCUGUUUUCCCUGAAUUUCCUUGUUGCUUUUUAUCUAAGCAAGAUCAUUCUUUUCCGACAGCGUUCUGUGAAGAGGGCUGCAGAUUCGGUGGGACAUGUGUGACUCCCAACAAAUGUGCCUGUCCGCCUGGAUUCACGGAAGUCAUUGCGAGAAAGUAUUGCUACCUGAAAAUCUGCAAGAAACACCAAGCAUACACUCAACCCUAGGUGUGGAGCUAUUUCUAGACUUGAAUUCCUUAACCUUGAUAUCAUCCUGGAAGAGACGACUCCUUCUUGUGGAGAACUGGGUUGUGCAGUGUAGGACCCUCAGCAGCAUCACCGAACUGACUUUGUCUAAGUGUCAUUAGCACCCACAUAUAAUAAAAAAUGUCACUUGAUGCUGUCAAAUAUCUUCUUCUAGGAAGAACUGAGAACUCCUGGCCCUG
rnacentral:lncRNA from 1 species